CCCCUCUCCGGGUAGCAUCUGGAGAGUUUCCAGUACUCUACCAGUCUCGACUACGGGAAGGAGAGUCAGGCAGAGGCACAGCCAUUCCAUUCCCAGCUUGGCCAGUGGCUAGCGAGUGGAAGGCCGUCUGCCACAAGU